UUCUCUUGGGGAGGACUGGCGUUGCUGUGUCAUAGAGGGUACUUUGUGAGCUAGGCUUUAAAGAGGCAUUUACAGAUGGGAGACUUGGCUCAGCUGGACCGAGCUAGGGUCUGUCUGAGGCUCAGAAGCAGACACUCAAGCAUGGCUCUCCGGGGACCCUUCCUAACUGGGGCAAAGCCUGAGGCUCUAUCUCCUUUUACCCAGAAUCCUCUUGAACCUGCACAUUGCCCUUCAAGUCAGAGCAAAGGAAGUGAGAUCAAAUUAUAAUAGAAGGGAUGCCAGUUAGACAAAAGAAUAGACUUAUUGCCAAAGAAGCUCGCACAGCACUGCACCUAAGGACAUAUUUGAUGAGGGUGAGGACACGGCACCAUCAGAUGACACCUGACUUCAGGACGCCCCUCAGCCCAUUAGCCGGAGGCUCAGGACUCAACCUAUGUCCCUGUGACCUCAGAGAUGCUGCCUUGCAUGGGAGUGGAGACCUCUGUCAACUGGCCCCAGCUGUCCUCUGAAACGCCAGACGUCUGGGACUAAUGAGAAAGGCCUGGUCUACAUCUUCAGCCCGCCCGCCCUGUGUUCCUGCUGCUCCUCACUCUCUGUGGUCUGCCGACCACCAGACACACCUAAAGCCAUUUUC